GGGUGCGAUCAUACCAGCGUUAAUGCAUGGGAUCCCAUCAGAACUCCGCAGUUAAGCGCGCUUGGGCUAGAGUAGUACUGGGAUGGGUGACCUACCGGGAAGUCCUAGUGUUGCACCCUC
rnacentral:rRNA from 1 species